rnacentral:lncRNA from 1 species
AACUCUUUGACAUCAUAUUUUAUUUCCAUCAUCUUAGAUUACAAAAUCAUAACUUUAAGGUCCUUGAAAUUAGGGGAAAAUAGAAGAAGAAAAUAAUAAUUAUUGAGUGCAUUCACAAAAACUAAAUGACAACAAGUGGAAUAUUCUAGCAUAAGGUAUAGUGUACAAUUCUUUUCCUAGAUAAAGAGAACUCAUUAUGAUGUUUUAGAUCGAUAUGCAUGCGCCUUUACGACACCUAACAUUAACUCAUCAAAGUUUUGAACAAUCUUUAUCAGUUUUACAAGCAAAAAUAGAUAUUGAUGUACAAAGAAAUAUAGAAAAAAUUAAAAUUAUAAAAUAAACUAACUUCGGAAUUUCAACCAUAUUUUUUCCUAUUUGCAUCCAAAUAAUAGUAAAUGACUCGAUCUCUUUAUAGUGUAUAUAAAGUUCAUGGUCUUAGAGAAAUAAUUAAAUAGUUUAAGAAUUAUAAAAUUUGAAAAGCCCUUUCAGAUUUUUAAAAUUAUUACUAAAUGUCUCUCAAAUAUAUCAUUGUGUUAUUUAUGUCCCUUUAGCACACCUAGGAAGGAGUUCAUGUAAUAAAAAUAAUAAUCAAUAUAACUGAAUACAAUUUUACACACUUUAGAAUACUUUUUCCUGUAAAUAAUUGUAUUAUUUUUUUAACAUUUUGUGAGAGUAAAGAGAAAAACAAUUAUAUCAUCAUAAAGUAUUGUACGGAUAUAAAGCACCAUGAGAUAUUUAUGAACAAGUAGAACGUAUGUUAUGAUCAUAAAAGUUAUGCUUAUAUAGUCACCUCUUAAUUGGGCUAGGUUUACAAUUAUCAUAAUGGGCUCAACAUCAUUACUAACCAAUUCUCAAAAGUUACUACUCACCUAAACCAUUAAAUUAUCGAAUAAUUAUUAUCUCUAAAUAAUUACUCCAACUCACUAGUAACUUAGAAAAAAAAAUUCUUGAAGAUUCAAGGAAUAAGAGGUUAAUAGUUGAAAGCUACACAAGAUUAGUCCUAAAGUCACAUGACAACUCCUAAAGCCACAUGAUUUAAGGUUAAUUGACCAAUAAGAUAUUGUCGUCUCAUAUAGAAGAGAAAAUUAUCAACUCUGAUUGAAGAAUAUUCUCAUGAUGAAUAUGUUUAUUACACUCGAAAUUUAUGGGAUAAGGAGAUCCUAUAAAUAAAACUCUUUGCUGCCUUAUUUCAUUUCCAUCAUCUUAGAAUACAAAUUCAUAAUUUGAAACUAGGGAAAAACAUAAGAAGAAAAUAAUAAUUAUUGAGUGCAUGAACAAAAACUAAAUGACAACAAGUGGAAUAUUCUAGCAUAGGGUAUAUUGUACAAUUCUCUUGCUAGAGAAAGAACUCAUUUAUCUCAUUAGGUUGUUUUAGAGCUUUACACAUUGGCCUUUACGACACCUAAUAUUAGCUCUCCGAAAUUGUGGACAAUCUUUAUCUGUUUUACAAUCACUAAACAUAAUCUGACUAAAAGGAGAUUUAUUGAAAAGAAAUAUAGAAAGAAAUAAAAGUAUAACAUAAACAAACUUCAGAGUUUCAACCAUAUUUUUUCCUAUUUGCAUCCAAAUAAUAGUAAAUGACUUGAUCUCUUUAUAGUGUAUAGUAAAGUUCAUGGUCUUAUAGAAAUAUAUCAUUGUGUUAUACUAAAUGUCUCUUAAAUAUAUCAUUGUGUUAUUUUUGUCCCUUUAGCACACUUAGGAAGGAGUUCAUGUAAUAAAAAUAAUAAUCAAUAUAACUGAAUACAAUUUUACAAACUUUAUAUUACUUUUUCCUGUAAAUAAUUGUAUUAUUUUUUUAACCUUUCGUGAGGGUAAAGGGGAAAACAAGUAUACCAUCGUAAAAUUAUGUACGAAUAUCAGGCACAAUUUAAUAUUUAUGAACAAGUAGAACAUAUAAUGAAGUUAACUACACCUCACAUAAUAAGACCAAGCAUAUAUUAAAAAAGCAACCUAUUGAAGGAACAUUGCCUCAACACAUCAACAAAAACAUGUUAUAAAAAGUUUUUCCUAUACUAUUAUGAAUGGCCAAAUGAAUUAUACAGAAGUUUUUUAGCAAUCACAAACAUAUUCCACCUUGUUGUAAGCAAAUUGAUAACCGGUAAAUAAAUUGGUUAUCAGAUUGCACUUAACUCUUAUAUUGGACAAGUAACUGAGUGAUUGCAUUGUCUUUAACAUCUAAUCUAUGCUUAGUUUAGGAUUUUAAAGUUUUAAGUGUUUUUAGUACUUUGAAACUAGUAAUGCUUGUUUGGUGAUGUAGGUGAAGGAAUGACUCUGAAGAAGAAUAAAGCUGCAGUGUGGAUUGAAGAUGUAUCGUUGAAGAUAUGAAAAGUUACAGCAUGUAACACCCUAAACCCCUAAAGCAAUAAAUUACGCAAAUAAUACAAAACAUACAAAGGAUUUAGAUGCUACUUCUUCUAUAAGUUCCUAAACAUGCAUAAUUAAUUUUUCAAAACAUCGCAGCAGAAUAUUUAAUAUCAUCACAUCUCAUCAACAUCUAAAUAAAACCUCCAAAGUUGAAAUGACGCAUAAUUAUAAUACAUCUCUAGAAUAAAUCUAACAUCUUGUUAUCGAGAUUUUCGGGUGUCAAGUCAUUAAUUAGGCUUGAACCUUUCAAUCUUUGAUAUUCUCUAUUUUUUCUUGGGAAGGGCAAAAUUGAGAAAAAAACCCUUAGAUUCGAAGUUCGGGGGUCGUUUUCACUACGGGAAGGUGUUAGGCACCCGCGGUGACUAUAGUACUCUAUAGGAGCCGUUUUCUUAGUUUAUGUCUACGCUUUAUUUUUAAUGCUACUUAUGAAAAAGGAAAUUUACUUAUGUUAAGAAUGGGAGGGAGAAAGUGUUUGAGGUUUUAUUUUAGUGGACUUGGAGAGGUUUUGACCUCAUGCCUACAUACCCAUUUAAGGGAUCAAACUCCAUGUAGUUCUCUCUCAAAAAAUGCUUUUUGUGUGUUUGGUUGAUUUUAAUUUUUGUUGAAAAAUGGUUUUGAAGAAAAGAAAGAGGCCUUAAAGGCAUAAGAGAAGAAAAUGGUGAAUGGUUAGUUCAAUUGUUAUUAAAAAAAGUCUAAGUAGAAAUUAGGAUUCAUUUGGAUUUGUUUAAGAAAAUAAAAGAAGAAAUUCAAUGGAGUUUUGACUCCAAGAUUUGUUUGGAAAAAUUUGAGUGAUGGAAUUGGUUUAUUAUUUUUUUGGAAAUUGACAUUUGUCUAAAAAUCGCGUUUCCUAAGCAUACAUCUAAACGGUAAUCAUGCAACGUGUGUGCGUGUCGGUGCUUGUGUCGGUGUACAUCACUUAUAGUGUCCAUAGUCCUUUACAUUGAGUCCUAAAUACAUGCUAUGGUCUUGCAAGGAAUUAAAAAGGAACUAAUCUAUCUAAAAUUAUUACAAACCCAAUUGAUGUAGAAAUGAAUAAAAAGAUGCUAGAACUAUGUGAUGAAUAAAAUGUGAGAUGAAAUGGUUAGUAUCAUAAGGCAUAAAAAUAAUAGAAAGGUAAGCAAAAUUGAAUAGAAUAGCAAGAGAGGAAAAAAGUAAUGAAAUGAAAUAAAGUGGCAAAAUAUACCUAAAAUUGGUUAUGACACUUAGUCAUGUGUAUGACCCAUAAUUCCCUCAUCAUAGCAAUGUUAAAGAGGUUUGAUUUUGAGCUAUAAUGUGAGGAUGAUAAGGACACAUACAAGCCAAGAAUUAUGACAUAUUUCUAGAAAUACUUUUCACUUUAUUUCUUAACAAAAACACACAUUAUUUGCAAAAAAAGAAAAAAGUGAAAAUUCACAUCACCCAAACAGUAAAUCACACAUAGGAUCAGAGACAUAUUCAUUAUGAAGUUGCAUAUUAAACACUCAUACCUUGCACCAAGGCCAUGAACACAAUGUGACGAAAAAAUUCACAAGAAAUUCCAUUAAAAGUAAAAAAACAUCAAGAACUAUCACAUACAUUUUUUUAUUAGUUUUUCAAUGUAUAAAAUCAUCACAAGAAAUACCAAAAAUAAAUUAAAAAACAAUAGGAAUUUUUAUAGAAUUUUUGAAAGAAAAAAUUGAGCAAGCAGGGGUUCAAAUAGCAACACAGCAAGGUGCAAGUAGCAAAAAAAUAAAAGAACGCAGAAACAAACAAACUGCAAGCCCAAGCCCAUAACCCACGGAUCUGGAUGCACAGGGAGCGUUGGAUUGAUCCAGAAAGGGAAACCCUAGAUCCAACGGCCAGGAAUGAAGGGGAUUGGACCGGUCUUGGACCGGUCCGGUUCACUGGCUUAUAUAAAGGUGUUGAGGCCGGUUUUUUUCAUUUUUACCAAUCCUUUCUCUCUCUUCUCUCGUCUUCUCUCUCUAAGCUCUCAACUUCCUCCGCCGGUUUCUGGAAGGAGACGGCCGGAGAAGAUGAAGAUGCGUCAGAAUCUUCAUCAACUCCGCCGUGAGAUCCAGAUUCCGGCGAGCUUCAACCUGACCAGAAAUCCACUAAACCUACUUCAUUCUACUCGUUCUCUUAUUCUAAGCAUGAAUCUGGCAUUGGUUUUCGCAUGCAAGGCUUGAAUCUUUGUAGAUCUACACUUCUUAUUUACGGUUUUGAAAAAACAUUUUAGGUUUUCAAUCUUUUUUGAAAGAAACUUUUGAAAACCCUAGGGAUCUACAUCGAUUCGUUCUUGUUGAUGCUUUUCGAGAAAGAAAAACGAGAUUUAGGUUUUACCUGAGUUUUUUGAUUCGGAGGUUCUUGAUGAAGAUUUUUCUGGAAAUUUAAUCUGGCUUUUGUUGUUGAUUUGGCUUGAGAACCGAAAAUAAAUCGGUUAUUUCACUGAUUUUCUUUCUUCAUCUUCUUCGCUGGUUCGAAUCUGCUUCUUUUCCUCUUCUUCUUUUUCUCACUGAUUCCUUCGUGAUCGGUGCUGGAGUUUGCCAAUGGCGAAUUCGCACUUUGAAUUGCGAAGGAAACCGAUUCGAUGAUGAAGAUUCAGUGAUGAAUCUCUGAGAAUCGCGAAAGAUCUUGUUGAUUCUCUGUUGAUUUGUACUGAUUUGUGGUGUUUUGUGUUGAUUAGUGUUGAUUCUGGUGGAAUUUGGAAACGGUUAGGGUUUGAGUGUUCUUGGUGUUCUUCGUGAUUUCUGGAAAUUGUUGAGUUUGGAUCUUUGAAAGCAGAAAGAGAAAGUUGGAAAGUGUUUGUGAUGUGGCGUGUGAUGAAUGGAUUCUGAUCCUGACUUGUACAGUAAAUGCGCCUUUUAUAGGCUGCCAAGUGUGCUUGAGACCCAAUGGGAGAGGGACACCUGUUUUUGGACUUAAGGACCUUGCUGCAAAAAAGGAAAAAUAAAAGGACUAAUCUGCAAUUAUGAAAAAGGACUUAAAAAUGCAAUUUUAAAAAGUAUUGGACUAAAAAUGCAAUUUUAAAAAGUAUUGGACUAAAAUGCAAUUUUAGAAACUGUUUCAGGGACUAAAAUGCAAUAAAAAUAAAAUUGGACUAAAAUUGGUAAAUUGGACAAAACGUAAAGUGAAACCAAAAAAUAAAAUCAACAAAAGGACUAAAACGAACCAAUUACUGACAUGAGGUAUUUUAAAAUACCUCCCUGCCGAAAUUUUGACAGGAAAAGACCAAAAUGCCCCUAGGGACUAAACUGACUCAGAUGCAAUUUUUGAAAUGACUUUUAAACAGAGACUCCACAAUGAUUUGUACAGACAAAUUGAAAAGACUCAGAGGCAAACACAGGGACUAAAAUGGGUUCCACUGCAGGAAAUGACCAAAAUACCCUUUUGUGUGAUUUUUUGAAAUAAAAUGCAAGAAAAGUAAUGCGACGUUUCAGAGAGUUCCUAAAUGACUUGUAAUGCAAGAAAAGACAGACAGAGGCAGUAAAAUAUGUUUUAAAAAGAGAGUAAAGAUUCAGAGUAAAAUAACAGCGAACUGACACACAUCAGUGUUAAAAAGAAAUUUGAACGAGUAUUUUUAGGUCCAAAAUCAGGGUAUAACACAUCUCAACAUACUAAGUGAAUAAAAUCUCGACAAGUCAUAUAAUAUAAAUAAAAGACAGACACCUUAAUUAGAGCUGACACACUAAGACUCUGAAAGCAAAAGACGAGGUAGCUUCAAAGCUAGCCUCCAGCAACUCACCAAGUAAAACAAAACUUCUCCUGCACACCAUCUAUCCAUAAAUACGCAAAGGUAGGUAGUCAAACAAACGACCACUGGAGGUUUGUUCACAUUUCACAAUUAAAGUAUAAUCAAAUUAAAAUGAACGAUAUAAUUAAAUUCAAAUGAUUAAACAAUACUUAAGAAGCUCAACAUCAUUAAUAAUCAUCAAUCAUACAAGUAUGAUUAUACACAAGUACAUUUUCAACAUCAUCACAUAUUCAUCAAAUUUUACCAAGCACGUAAUUCAUCAAAUUUUACCAAGCACGUAAUUCAUCAAGUUCACCGAUCCACAUAAAUCACCAAGGUUCACCAAGCACAUAAACAAAUACGACACAUUUAAUCAAUUAUCAAAUGUAUGUAAUGCGCAUAAACACGACUUUAUAUGCAUGUCCUACCGGUUGUCGUCAUUUGAAUACAAAGUAUUCUUUUCGUCUUCGUCGGAUAUAAUGUCCUAGUCAUCUUCAUUGGAUAUAAAUAUCCUACUUAUGAAUGCAUGAACAUACGAAUCAACAAUGCACACGCUCAACAAAAAAUCGUCAUCAUUUUCUUCAUUUUUCAUAAAUGCAUUCAUCAUCAAUAACGUUGUCAUUAUGCAUGCAAUGAUUCAUCAACAUAAAUCAUCAUCAUCAUCAUAAUCAUUAUCAACAACAAUCAACUAAAGAAUCAACAAAGUUCCAAACUAAUGAAUAAACAAUUCUAGUCGUCUUCAUUGGAUAUAAAUAUCUUACUUAUGAAUGCAUGAAUAUACGACUCAACAAUGCAUACGCUCAAGAAAAAAUCGUGAUCAUUUUCGUCUUGAUUUUUCAUACAUGCAUUCAUCAUCAAUAACGUUGUCAUUAUGCAUGUAAUGAUUCAUCAACAUAAAUCAUCAUCAUCAUCAAAAUCAUCAUCAACAACAAUCAACUAAAGAAUCAACAAAGUUACAAACUCACAUUUUGCACAAAAGACGGACAAUUAUCCACAUCAAGACAUUCAUCAAAUUAAACACGGACUCAUCCUUGAUUCAUUCUUAUUAUAAAAUAUCAUCAUGAAUAUAAAGUCAAUUGCAAGUUAUCCGGUCAUAAAACCUCAUUUCAACAAAGUUCGUCUAUUUUUAUAAAAUCGCCCAUUUUCAAUUUCACCAAGCAAAUUUGGGUUCCAAGUUCUUACAUACCAUUAAGACAUCUCUACAUAUCAUCUAACAUCUUAGUUAAUCAAUCAUAACAAGUUCACUUCACAAAUUUCAACUAGUUCUCCAAAAUUGCAAAGUUCAUCUCCUUUUUCUUCAUGUUUCAAACUCAAUUCAUUUCCAAGUAAAAUCAAGUUAAAACACUUCUAAAGAACAAAAAUUCAUGAUUACAUACUCAUUUAUUCACUAUAAAUACUUCCUUAAAUUCAAUAUUAAUUUUGAAGAUGUUUCAUGGUUUAGUGAAAAUGUUAUGAUAAAGUUUCAUGAGAAAGGGACACAUGACCUAUGUGAAGUAAUUUGACCAUAAAUCAAGGUAUAGAAAACAUUUUGAAGUGAGAUUAAACCCAUUAGAAAUAUAACAUACAUAUAUAAAACUUUCAUGUUUACAACUACGGCUGAAUCGAUUCAGAUCUUAUUGAAUUGAUUCAAAACAAAUUAGAGAGAAACCAUGAUACGAUUCAAAAUUGUCUGAAUCGAUACAAAGCUGCCCAAAUACAGAAUGAUGCAACUCAAACUUUCUUGAAUAAAAUUCAAUGGCCUGGAAAACACAAUUUUAGCUUUGGUUUCAUCCCCAAAUCAUCCCAAAAAUCGCUAUUUUGAUUUCCAACAUACCCAAAAUGAUAAAAAUCAUUUUCCAAGGUUCAAAUACACCAUUUAGACUCUUUUCACGACAAUACAAAACAACUUAUACUUCAAUUUACCUAAUUCAUCAAGGUUACAACAACAACAACUUACACACAACAACACAUAUAUCACACUCAAUACAUGAAUCAUCAUCACCAACAUAUACCCAUCAACAAUCAUAGCAUAUAAUUCAUGAACUCGUCAAUUUUCAACAACAACAUCUUCAUUUUCAUAAAUUUAAGUUAAAACUUCAAAGCUAUCAUUUCAACAUAGUUAUACAAUGAAAUUUAAGUACCCACAACGAGAUUUCAAAAAAUUUCACAUACUCAAAUUUAUCGCAUAAUCGUGAGCACGAAAUUCAACAUUCAAAAUCACAAAAAGUCAUAAUUCACCAUAAGCACCUGUUCUCAUAAUUGAAAAGAUGAAGGUUGAAACUUAACUAUGAAAAGGAUAUAUCCCCCUUACAUCUAGGUCUUGAAUUCACUAGCUUAGGCUUCAAUUUAGCUCCUAGCUCUUCAAACCUCAAGCUCUCCCUCUAGCUUCCUCUUCUUUCCUCUUGCGAUCUACUUUCUCUCUCUACCUCUUAUGUUUUUGUGGAAUAAAAUAAUGAAUGGCUUAACCUAAUUUUUUCAUAAGAGUUAUGCUUAUAUAGUCACCUCUUAAUUUGGCUAGGUUUCUAAUUGUCAUAAUGGGCUCAACAUCCUUACUAACUAAUUCGCAAAAGUUAAUACUCACUUAAACCGUUAAAACACCGAAUAAUUACUAUCUCUAAAUGAUUACCCCAACUUACUAGUAACUUAGUAAAAAUAUUUAUUCUCACUAAAACUCCAAAAGUAACCUUCUUAAUAAAAAUGACUAAUUUAUCCUUACUCGCCAAAUGACCAAAAUACCCCUUAGUUUAAAAUUGACUAAAAUACUCCGCUAGGCCAAAAAUCAACUAAUCCUACUUUAAAUAGACACAGAGACAAUUAAUCAUACAUAAACAUAUAUAAACAAACAUAAUAAAUCAUUUAAUUAAUUCUAGCUAAAAACAGGUUGUUACACAACAUCCUGGGACUCUAGUCGGGUUGUACAUAGUACACAUACGUGGGGCCAGUCUGUCCAUUUCUUAACAAGGAAGCAUAUGAGAUGUCCCUAAUAAUUGGAUUCCUAAGAAGAAUAAAAGAAUAUGCUAUUUGGUAGCUAGGAUUGGAUAAGGACGGAUGGAUAAGAACAGCCCAUGUAAAAUGACUAAAAGGUACAACUUGUAGUGGGUUGCCUUGUACUAUAAGAGGGUACCCGUGUGUUUGUAUCAAGGGUCUAAAAAUUCACCUUAGAAUUGGAAAGGUCAGGUUACGACUAGGGUUAGCAGCUUUAGAGAUCCCAUUCCAUCUCAUCUUCUACCAUAAAUGAGCAUGGUAUAUAGAUUCUAGAGUUCUUAUACUAGAUUACUUGGUGAUGCUUUUCCUCACCUUAUUCCUUCAAGGAUUGUAAUCUUGCGAUAACUCUACCUAUUCUAUUAAUUUAGUUUCUAUGUUUUCAUUUGCUUCCAUCUUCAUUUCCAUUUCUAUGGUUCAAGUCACCAUGAGCUAAACACCUUUAAAUGGUUUAGACAUGGUGAGGUUCUGAUUUAUUAAUUACUUGUGAUAUAUCAAACUGUAACAUUGUACUUUGCUCUGAUAAACUAUUUUUAUUGUAAAACCAAUAGAAGUGAUUCCUGAUAAGUUUUCCUUCUAAUGAUAUAGCUCGUUACCCUGAUGAAGUAAGGAGUGGAACCUGUUUAUUUGAUACGAGUUAGCCCUUACCAACAGAGUGAAAGAGGACAAGGGACCUGAUUGUAAAACUAACGUUAUAGGAGGCUAGAGCUUGGUGAAUCUUAGUUAGCUUAAGAGGUUAAUAAACAUCCAUAACACUGAAUGACCAUAGCCAUACAACACUCUAGCUGAGUAUUACAUUUUCUUAAGGCUAAAAUAUGCAUUUCAUCCCUGCAAAUAUAGGCCAUUUGAAAUUUCAUCCUUGAACUUACUAAUCCUCUUAUUAUUUCCCUGCAAUUGUUAAUCACUUGAAAUUUGGUCCUAAUCACAUUUUUUUUGCUGGGGUGGAGGGUAAUUGGCGACGUGUCAGCUGUUGACUGUGCCAGAACACUGAUGACUCAAACAAAAUGGCAUGAAUAGACAAAAUUGCCCUUAAUGAAUCAAACCAACAUGGAAAAGAUGUUAUUGCCCUUCUUCCUCCUCUUAAAUCAUCUUCUUCUCCCUCGGCUUAAAUCUUCUUUCCUCUGUUCCAGCCAUUCCAACUUUGUAUAUGUAUAUGUGUUAUUAUAUGAAGAAAGGUCAACCACGAAGUCAACAUUCAGAUUGGAAGAGAACUUCAAUCAGACUGUGAAGGAUCAAAGACUUUGAAGGAAGUCAUUAUAUGUAGAAUUUGUGUUUUAAUUUAAUUUUUUCAUGAACUAUUUUCAGACUACGCAUAUAUUACAUGAGCUAUUUCAAUAAUUAACCCUAUUUAUUUUAUUUUUUGACGAAAAAUAAGCGAUAUUCAUUUAUUAAAUUCGAUAGAAUUUUUAGGUACAAUACAAAUUUAAAGUUGUUAAAAACAAAAAUGAUGAAUCCUCAAACCAACUCACAAUAUCAUGUUAAUAGCAUAAAACAACAUAGUACAUAUGCCUACAAAUAUGAUUAUGUUCAAAUCUUUGUAAUAAUCAUUUACUAAAUCUGCAACGAGCUUGAAGUCAUUGAUCUGAUUUUCACUUUAUUACAACUUUAAUCAAAUAAACACGACACCAAGAUGAAAAAUAAAAACACAUCAUACAAAGACGAGAAAUCAAAGAUAUCAACAAUCAAAGUUGAUCUUGACAUAUGAAAAAUGGUUGAUUAAAACAUGUAUUUUGAAACAGAUGGAAUAUUUAAUAAAAGAUAUUUAAACAAUUUUAUUAAUUUAUUAAGGUUUGGAUACAUACAGGCACAUGUAACUUUAAAUAUUUACUAAUUUAUUAAUUUAUUAAAUGCAUAAUAUAUUUAAGAUGUGGGAUCAAACCCCAGCCACCACGAAAAAAAAAUAUUACUAACUAACAGAUAGUUUAUUUGGGUAUCCCUAUACCGAAUUUUAUAAUCGAACACCUCAAACAGAAACAACUAAAAUCUAAACCAUGUCAUAUUAUCAGGAUCUAGGAUUUAAUAUGGUGACUUUAGGAAUUGAGUUAUGGGUCUUGAUAACAUUUUCAUUUUCCUUUAGUUAUUCAUGAUAUAUGAAACGUGGCCACCUAGUAAUCUAAUAUCACUUACCUCACAAAUCAUAUUUUAUUUAUGGAAAAUGAUUAGAAAAAUUCCAUUCACUCUUAUAUUCUUUUCUGAAACAAGUCCCCGUUCACAUUGCUUCAUUAAAAUAUUUAUGGUCAACGAUUCAAAAUUGAGAGUUCCACUAUAGCUUAUCUCUUUUAUUGAGAUAAUAAAACAAAUCGAAAUAGAAAAAAGUCUAACACUUUAUGAAAAAAAUGGGAGAAACCAUUUCUGCUGCAGCCUCAUCCUCAGCAUCUAAAUUGAAGAAUCAAGAAGAUAGUUUUUACCUUCAUAUACAUCCUCAAGAGCUACACUUUCCACGUAAUUAAGCCUCUUUAAUUCCCAAAAACCAACAAAAUUAAAUAAGAAGUUUCUUAUUUCUAAUCCUAUUUUAUUAUGUGUCUUGUUUCUGGUUCUAAAUUCUAAUAGUAUAAUUUUUUUUUUUAACACUUUCUUGUUUUCUGCGAACCAGUUGAAUUGAAGAAAAAUAUCUCAUGCUGUUUGCAGUUGUCCAACAAGUCAGAUAAUUAUUUGGCUUUCAAGGUAAUGAUUUUCUUUUUCGUUUGUUAGAAAAUGAUAAGUUGUGCAUUUUUUAUAACUUGUGCCCUUAAGAAAUCAGUUAAAAAAAUUAAAUAUAGAAGUAUUUUUCGAAAAUUGUGUAUCUUAGAAAUUAAAAAAAAAAAAAAUUCCAUUAGUAAUCUUGUCCUUUAAUUCUUUUUUUAUGCUGCAUUAGAGGAUCCAUGUUUGCUUAAUAAAUUGAGUGUUAUUUAGGAAAAGUUAUGAUUAUGAGUUGGAUUGAAAUUGAUGGUGUUGCAACUUGCAGGUUAAGACUACAAUUCCUGAGAAAUAUUGUGUUAGGCCUAAUAUUGGAGUUCUGUUGCCUAUGUCUACUUGUGAUAUUAUAGGUUUUCUUCUCUCCAUCUCUCUCUACCUUCUUCACUCUCCCUUUUGCUAUCAAAAGUACAAUGACAUGCAAAGAAUAAUAAAUUCGGUCGAAUUAGACUUUACAAGACUCAAGUAUGUCCUAAUCUAAAAGUUCAAGGUCGACUACUAGAAAAUUCGUUUUUAGCGACGGAAAUUUGUGAGGGUUUAAUUCCGUCGCAAAUUUUGACGGAUUUUGUGAAGGGUACUCUUUUGAUGUCAUUAGCGACGGGUUUUACGAGGGUCUGUGUCAUUAGCAUGUCAUAGGUUUAUUUUUAGUCUCAAGUCUAGUAUUUUUGAAUGUCUUGUAGGACUAUCUAUCUUACUUAUAGACAUUUUUAAUAUGAAUAUAUAUUUAAAUAAGUAAUUUCAUUAUUAGAAACCCAAUUUUCCUGCGGAAUUACCAGCGGAUUUUAGAAUAUUCCGCAGAACACCUGUUUCCUGCAGAUUUAGACUGGGAUUUUGGUUCACUUCUAAUAUCUUCAUAGAUAAUUGUUUCUUUUGAUUUUAGGAUCAGAAGAAAAGAAGAAUCCCCAGGAAAAGUGAAAAUUAUAGGAUCAUAUUCAAUAUUAUCAAUAAAGAAAUUCAAAAUCUUACAAAUUUCCUGUAAAAAAAAAAAUUACAAAUUUCAUCAUAUUAAAAUAAACCGCAUGAAAAUUCGCAGGAAAAACUUGAGUUUCUAUUAUUGUUUUAGCUAUUUUUGUAGGCCUAUUUAUCCUACUUAGUAUAAAUAGUAGGGUUCAUUUUUGGGUCGUACCGCAGACAUCCCCUUUUCUAACAAAGUACCAUCCUUGUUUACAGUGUCAUGGAUAUGUUGGCAUAAUGUUUACAUGGGAUUUAGUUGCACAAUGUCAUGUGUUCUGUUCUUUUAUACUCACUUUUAUAACUAAGUAGCAUCAUUUUUUACUUAAUGACUCUUUAUAGUUACAAUGCAAGCCCUAGAGGAGGCACCUCCUGACAUGCAAUGCAAAGAUAAGUUUCUCCUUCAAAGCAUAGUUGCAAGGCCUGGAGCUACCACUAAAGAUAUCACUUCAGAUAUGGUAACAAACAACAAAUUGUUUCUUGAUAGUUUUUUCCACCAACAUUUCAUAUUUUAAUUGUUUUCUUUUUUCAUUGCAUGAAGUUUUAUAAAGAUUCCGGAUAUGAAGUUAAAGAGUCCAAAUUUAGAGCUGUUUGUGUUGCUCCUCCUUCUAACCCUCCAUCACCAGUUCAAGUAUCUGGAUCUUUAGAUCAGGUUUCUUUUUAUUUCAUUUUUUAAAAGCAGUUCACAUAUAAUUUCUAUGCAGCAUAAUAUACAAUUUAAAUUGGUAAUUCUCGUUGAUUUGUGUUGGUGAAUAAAAGUGACUCACAAAGUAUAAGAAGAGGAAAACAAUUUUUUAUUGAAUAUCAGUAUUUUUAUUAUUGUUUUUAUGUGUUAACCUUACGGUUCUCAGAGGAAAGGAACACUGUUCAUCAUGAGUUCGUUCGUAAGGUAAGUAUAGCCUAACUACGAAUCCUUUGGUGGAACUCAUUAAUCAUUUGCGCUCAAUUACUUGAUCAAUAGUUGUAGGCUUUUAAAUACAAACUCCUAAACUUUAACUGCUGCUUUAUUAGAUAAUAAGUAACUGGAAAAUUAAAACAAACUCCCGUAAAGACUUAGUCAACUAUAAAUGACACGUUCAACACUCCUUGUAAGGAGUUGAUGUUCGAUGCCUAUCUACUCGUAGAAUACAGUGAAUUGUUAUGAAGUCUACUUUGUGCCACUAUCAGACAUUAAAACUUGAAUCACACAGUCUUUUUGCUUUUCAAUCCAACGCUUAAAUCUCCAAAAUACUCCCGCAACCUCUAACCAUGAGUUAUCAAAUAAUUCCAACACAUUUUGGUGUAAUAUUUGCUCUCUUGAAGUGUACUGACAUACCUUGUAGAUUGGUGAUUCAUCAUCUAAGUCAGCUAGUCAUGAACCAAAUCAUUUCUUUGUAAAUUCAGUACAAUUGCACGAUGAAAAUGGCGUAAUCUUUUGGGCCAUAUCUCCGUAUUAUUAAUAGUAACUUGAUAAGUUGCUUUCCUUUCCUUCUUUGGACUAAACGAGAAACUAUUGCAACUAUACAAUUGCUGAUACACACGUUCAAAUGGCAAUCAUAAUUGCACAUUACAAACCUCAACCAGUACAAGCCUUCGAUAAUAUAUACUUUUGAUCUUAACCUAAGUAAUUAUCAUAAUGAUUUAUUUUUAGUUUUAGGAGGCCACAAUCAAAUUCCAAAUGUAUUUUAAAAUUGAAAUGCAUAAUUUUCCAAGUUUUCUUAAUUUAUAUAUUGAUUUAUAUUACUAUAUUGGCCUUUGAUAAUGAUCUUGUUGUAAUACAUUAAUUUUCUUUUCAAUUUAAGCAUGUUCUUUAGGAGUGUCCCCCAUAUAAGCUGAUUGCAGUUGAUAGAUGCAUGUCAUUAAUUUACAUUCUUAAUUGUGAUAUUGAAAAAUAACUUGUUCAUAAACCCCAUCUCCCUAUUGACCUUACGUUCAUGUAUCGAUUAUUAUUGAAAAGAUUUGAAUUCUGAAAUAUUGUUGCUCAUUUUUUAUUUCUUGUCAUUUUAGGCAAAGGAUCAAAUUUCGGAGUUAACCGAAGAGAGAGAUUAUCUUAAGAAGGAAAAUAAAAGGCUUCAGGAAGCACUGGUACGCCAUUCACAACAUGAUCAUAGCUUGGUAAUCUUGAAUAUUUUGUCGGGUGAUCUUGAUUGCUAUCCUAUGAUCUUGAAUAUUGGUCGUGUCUUAACUUAUUCAACUAUUUACGUAAACUUGAUAUUUUUUUUUGUUGUCAAGUAGCCUAGCCUAAUGGCUAGAAAUUCACAUCUAAGGUGAAAAAAUGGGGUCAUGAUAUUCGAAUCCCAACUUCUGAAUAAAUUAUGCAUUGUCCUUAUCAACUGAGCUAAACUCAGAGAGACCAAUUUAAUACCUUUAUCUUUAUUUUAAAAUUUUGGAAAGAUAAGAUUAUCUUAGUCAUCUGCGAGAAUACCAAAAAAGAUUUUUUCUGAUUCCAAGAAAGAAAAAAUUCACAUUGAAACCUAUUGGUUUCCAAAUUUUAAAAUGACUAUGCUUUCAGAUCACAAGAAUUUCCUUCAAUUUCCUUCUUGAAGUUACUGAGGAAGAAUUUCCUUCUUGGUCCGCUCUUACCAAUUGUUGAACCGCGAAUGCUUUUAUCGUUCCUCUUCUUAGCCAAUAACUGUCAUUUAUAUGGUGUGGCUUUAAAGUACACCCAAUCUCCAAUUUCUGUGUGAACAUGCUUCAUAUUCUUAUUUGCAUGCUUCUUCAUUCUUUGCUGAGUUAUUUCUAAACUCUUUUGUAACUGAUACAGAACAUUAUCCCUAUCUUCCACCAUACACGGCUUCUACUUAUGAAGGAAAUGUAGCACACUUUAUUACUGGAGGAGAGUCCCUUCCAUUUAGUUCUUGGAAAUCUUGUAUCCUAAUUAACACAUUAAAAUUAUUAGGCUUAAUUGCAGUCCCCCAUACUUCGAAACGUGGCCACUUUACCCCCUUUUGUAAUAGAUCAGUUUUGACUCGGUCAAUGCAUGUGUCAUCUAACUUAAUUGAGUCAGACGCUACAUGUGCAUAUUUAUUUUGCUCUUCUUCUCUUCUUCCCUUAAAUCAAAGUCUUCUCUUCAAACCUAUCCCUCACAAAUCCAACAUCCAUGAGAAGUUCUUUAUCAAAAUAAGAACUCGGGGUCGAGUUCUUUAGACGUAGAGGAGAUUGAUGCAUGAGGGAAUCCAUAGUAUUUUCUAUAGUAUUUUUAUUUUAGCCAAAUUUUAGUAAUUUUCUAUUUUUAUUUCAGUUUGUUAUUUUUGGCCCAUUAGAGUUUUGUUAUUUGUCUAUUUAAACUUAACAGGUGUAGCUUAAGAAACAAACUAUUAUUCAUUCAAUUAUAUUUUAGAUAGUUUUCUCAAUUUCUGGUGGAUUCUGAAACCCUAUUUUCGCAAGUUUGUCGUUUGCAAACUUGUUUCUCUUAAAUCUUAGAGUUAGCAAAAUUUAUUUUACGUAGGAUUUUAUAUCUUUUGUUACUUUAAAAGAAACAUAUUUUAUCUGCCAAGAGUAGAGAUGAGAGUGAUGCAAAUCGAGAUGGGAUCAUUGGAGUAAUUUAGAUUACUGUAAUGGCCUUUGAUAUGAUGUUCUUGUAAUAUAUUGACUUUCUUUUCAGUUUAAGCAUGUUUUUAGUUUCUGCCUGCUCCCAUACGGCCAGCAAUGGUCCUGUUACCGUGGUCUCUUAGUAGCUUGUAGGUGUGUCCUUAUUUUGGAGUGUUUUUUGGGUUUUAAGGUUUGUCCGCAUAUAUACGGAUCCUUUGCAUGUUUUCUUUGUCUCUUGGCAGCCGGGUGCAUGUUACGUAGGCUUGCUUUUAAUUUGGUUAAUUCAAAAACCAAAAAAACAUUUUUGGGAAUGUCCCCCCAUAUAGUCCGACUAAAGUGGAGCUUUCAUAUUUAAAAAUAUGAUGUUCAUAGACGCCAUGAUUGGUUUUGUCAUCUAAAAAAUCUAGCGGCGCAACUUGUUGUCUGCUUAUCUACUAUUAGUAUAUAAUAAUAAUUAAUCCUUGAUAUAUAAUUUUUUAAUAGGGCAUUGCUAUGGAUGAGAUGUGAAUUCUGAAAUAUUGUUGCUUAUUUUGAAUUUCUUUUUAUUUUAGGCAAAAGUACAAAGUUCAAAUUUAACUGAGAGAGACGAUGUUAUUGAGAAAAAUGAAAAUCUUGAGCAAGAACUGGUAUGAAAAAAUCUCUCUCUUUAAUUAACAAUUUUAGAACGAUAAGAUUAUCUUAGUCAUUUCCAUGAAUAACUAAAGAUUUCUAUGAGAAAUGAAAAAAUCAUAUUGAUACAUAUUUGGUUUCCUAAAUUUUAAAAUGAUUUUGCUUUGAGAUCACAAGAAUUUCCUUAUUCAACUUAUAAAGAGGAGGCAUUCGUAAGCAAUGAGUUAGGCUCAACUUCAACAUGAGAGACAAAAUUCCUUUCUCAGCAUAAUCGCUUGAACAAAGAGAAUUAUUGUUGAGAGAUGUUAACCGAUACCUCGCUAACUCUCUAGUUCAACAACAAUUACUAACUUAAAAAUAUAAAACGCUCCAUAUCAAAAUGAAUAAAUAUAAUGAGCUCAAUAUCCUAAACCCAAUAGACUAUUAUCUAACAGAAGCGAUGUGAUUUUAUCCUAAACAUCGUUAUCUUAGACUAUGCCUUUAUGAGUGAAUCAUUGAUUUAGUCCCUAAAAUCAAUAGCACCAAGCAAUUUCAUAUAUUAAGUUAUUGAAAUUCCAUAAUGAUCUCUAAAGUUGAAAAUUCUUUGAUCACAUUAGUUCUUUAAUGUUGGUCAAUUUACUCCUAAAAACUAUCCUAAAAGCACUAAUGUGAUUGUCGAUUUUCAAUUUUAUAUAUUAUUUUGAAAUUUUACUUAUGAUGAAAAUAACUACUACAAUUUUAGGGAUUAAAUUGUAUGGUUCACUCCACUCAUUUUCCUUGAAUAUAAGUAGCAUAGUUAAUAUGUAUUAUUGCAAAAUCGAGGGAAGCUUUUCUGAAUUGGUUACGUUAAUUCCUUUUCUUCAAGCAGGAGAUGGAGAUAUCUCUUAUAGGACUUCAGAAUGCUGGAAAGACUUCCCUUGUAAAUGCUGUUACUACCGGUGGAUACAGCGAGGAAAUGAUUCCUACAGUGGGAUUCAAUAUGAGGAAAGUAACAAAAGGAAAUGUUACAAUAAAGAUAUGGGAUUUAGGAGGGCAACGUAGGUUCCGUAGCAUGUGGGAACGUUACUGUCGUGCGGUUUCUGCUAUCGUUUCUCUUGUUGAUGCUGCUGAUCCAGAUAACCUUAGCAUAUCAAGAAGUGAACUUCAUGAUUUGCUGAGCAAGCCAUCAUUGAGUGGUAUCCCUUUAUCGGUGUUGGGAAACAAGAUUGACAAGCCAUGGGCUGUGUCUAAACAAGAUUUGACCGACCAAAUGGAUCUGAAAUCAAUUACUGAUAGAGAAAUUUGUUGCUUCAUGAUCUCGUGCAAAAACUCAACCAACAUCGACUCUGUUAUUGACUGGCUUGUGAAGCAUUCCAAAUCAAAGAACUGAGAAACUGCUUUGUGCUUUGAACUUUGAUGUAAUUUUGUGGCGACCCAAUUCUGGAUUUAGUAGUGGCAUUGGAAUGCUAACUCUCAGAUUGGUGUAUAAUUAUGUGGCGGUUCCAACUAUAUACGGCGCCUUUUGUUUGUAUUCUCAGUUUCAUCGGUCUUUGUUCGUCUUGAGCGGGGAUUUGGUUGUUUAAUAAAAUUUGCUGUUUUAAAAAAAAAAAGGUUAUCGACACUAUGAAAGUGACUUUCAUCAAUCCAUCCACUUCCACCGUAAACUUAAAGAUAGGUAACUAAAAAUACCUUAAUUGACCUAACUUCAAAAAUUGCCACAUAUACUUGUUUAGGAUAAAUAAUAAAUUGAAAUUUUUUAAUUUUGAUUUUUCAUAUCACUUUUGUUUUUCUUUUAUAAUAUUUUUACUGAUAAAACAUCAAAACUGAUAGGCUAUGCUACUCUAGCUACUAUUAAACUAAGAAUGCAAAAGAAGAAGAAAAUAUAAAACUUUAUAAGUUUAUUCAUGAAGCAGCCAAGAGGCAUUGUUAUAGCUUUUAUACUUAGGGUUGGUAGCAAGGGCUUAACCUGAUAAAACAUAAUAAAAGCAUAAGAAAUAAAAAUAAGUCCAAAAGUUUAUUGGGGUGGUCUAUGAAUGAUGUAAACAUAAUUGAUGAUAGGUUAUCUUACGUUAUUUUUAGCAUGUUUUUCAGUCAAAUUCAAUAGGUUUUAUCAGCAGAACUGAGGAGUAUUAGAACAAUUGUCUAUAAUUUUGGGUCAUUUGUAAUGUUUUAUAUAUUUGAGUCUGUAAUUCUAUUAUUCCCGAAACAUAGCAAUUCAAAGGUGUUUUUGAUAUGAAGAACAUCAAAAAGUCUUAUAGACAUUGGGAAGAUCAAGAAUGAAGAUUCAAGAGUCAUCAUAAGACUUUACAGAGGGAGAAAUUAUGUUCUUAGGUCACAAUACAUCUUAUAUGGAAGCAAACACCCAAAUGGAUGGAAAAACAGAGAAUUAAGGCUCAUAACACACUUACAUGCGCCUAGGGCAUGAAUCAUACGCCUAGGAAAUGCCUCAUGUACCUAGGGCAUAAGUUGUUCUGCACACUCAUGCGCCUAGGACAUGAGCUGUGCGCCCCGAGCACUGCUUAGUGCGGGCAAAAACAACUUUUUCCUACUUUUUAGCAGGAAAAAGUUCGGUUUUGGUCCCAACUUCAAGUGGAAACUCUCCCUAUAAUUACCUCAUUCCUCAUUCCAAAUUUCUCAUUCAGAACGAAGUGGUUCAAGAGGAAGGCAAACACUAGGAGCUUCCAGGGAGUAGUUUCUCUCUCCUCACUCCAAGUUUCUCUAUGGUAUGUUUUAUUUCUUUUGUAAUUUGUCUUUAGUUACCAUGAGUAACUAAAUAUUUAUAGGCUAGGGUUCUAAGAUGAAACUUUAUUAUAUUUGUUGGAUAAUUAUUUAAUUUAUAGUCAUUUAUUCAGUUAUCUUCUGUCUGUGAUUUAGUUUUACUGUAAUGCGUAAGAUUUUUCUCCUCUAGAACAUAACUCUCAUUUAGGCACUUAGGUAGUGACAUGGCCUAAUAUUGAUAUUUAUAACUUGUUAUUUAUAGAUGCCUAACAAGGAAGUAAUUAGUUAGUAACUAGCGAAAGAAACCGAAAGCGAUUGGACCCUGAUAAUAAUUACUUAGGAGGUGGCAUAACUACUAUUAAGUAAAAUCUGCUGAAAUUAGAAUGUAACUAGUUAGUAAUUAAGGAAACAAAUGACUUCACAACCUAAAUCAGCCUGAUAACUCCAUUCUCCUCGACCUGGGUCAGGUAAAUGCUGAUAGGGUUGCCCGUUUAUAGAACUACCAAGAGGGAAAAUGUGCUAUGUACUUCUAAGACUCAUAGAUGAGAAAAACUUUAGGAACACUAGCAACGAUAUCUUUGGAAAUUUAGGAACGCCAAUUUAAGUAUAUGUUUCAAUUAACACUGAGGGAGUAAGACCCCAUACGUAUGGAUCACCGUGUGGCCAACAAUUGCAACUCAACAGGCGGAGGGAUAGACCGAAAUCAACUGAGAGAGUAAGACCCGAAACAUAAGGAUCAUUGUGCGACCAUCAAGUGCAACUUGACAAACUGAUUAGGCUAUCACGUACCAACGAACUCAUCACUUAGAUAGUCUACUUAGAAUAACAGAACGCGACUUGACUAUUAAAUAAUUCCAACAAAUGAAUAUAGAGGAUCCUAACUGCUGCUAAUAUUUUUGCAAUCAAAACACGUAAACUUUCUCUGUUGCAAACAGAUAAAAAUUGCAAACUCUAAACUCUUAUCUUUUAUUUAUUACUUUGUUUUCAAAUCAGCUUCAAGAAAAAAUGCAUUUGGCGACUUUUAAAAUGACGAAUUGCGACUGUUAGAAAGGUCGCAAAUGUACAUUUGAGACUCUUCCCCAACAGGCGCUAAUGUUGGGGUCGCAUCUGUCUUUUGCGACAAUUCAAGGAACGGUCGUACCAACAGCCGCGACGGGUCAUAACAGUCGCAAAGUACAUUUUGUUUUGUUUGAAAAGGGGUGUUGCGACAGUUCAUAACAGCCGCAAUUCCUUAAAACUAUUUUUUUAAAAUACUCUUUGCGACACUUUCGAAUUGUCGAAAUUUGUGAAAUUUAUUUAAAAAAAGAAUAAUAAAUCAUAAAAUAUGAAUACUAAUUAAUAAAAAAUAUUAACUAAUCCAUAAACUAAAAUUUGAAUUUUACAUUCAUAUAAAAUUAUUUGUGGCGUCAAACACUCUGGACACAACGUUAACUUCCAGAUCAAUACAAAUUUUAUGAUUGACAGUCUAAUCUACAAUGAUGUUUAUAAACUAAAAAAAAACUUAAUUCUUAAUAAUUCUAAAGGUAAUAAGAUGGAGGCCAGUAAAUUUCCCUUCCGUUUGGAUCCAAAUAGUCCAUACAUGAAAGACAGAAACAUAAAAUUAUAGCAAAUAUAGUUUAAACUUUCAACAUUUCAAUACUUGUAUACAUGGUAUAUCCUAUAGAAUUCCUAAAGAAAGUUUAAAAUGAAAAGCCCACACAAUAAAAAACAAACAAGUGAUGACACCAUGAAGGGUAAACAUAACACUUUUAAAUCCAAAUAAUCUUGACAUAACAUAGCAUUUUGCAGACACACAAACAUAACAUAGCAACAGUGUCAAUUGACAUUGAUGAUAAUUCAAAUUGAGUAAAAGUUUCACCAUUAUGAAGAUUAAGACAUUUGUAUCAUAUACCUGGAAUAACUUUCAGAUGGAUACCCUAUUGAAAUAAAAAAAUUUAUUUCCUCACCACACCUCAAAAACAUCUACAUAAUAUCAAACAACAAGCACAAUAAGACAUUCACACUCUUUUGUGACAAAAUGGUCAGAUAAGAUGACGACGCAGCUGCACGCACUAUGUGGCUUAAAGUAACAAGUUCCAAUACAUUUAACUCAAAACAAUGGCCUAGGCAACAGUGUGAAUGGGCAGAUAAGAUGAUGACACAACUGCAUGCACUAUGUGGCUUAAAGUAACAAGUUCCAAUACAUUUAACUCAAAACAAUGGCCUAGGCAACAGGUUAGACAAAUUAAGAAAAGAGUUCAACCAAACUAACUAUCAGCAUACAUCAGUUGUUAUCCAUCAAAUUAAGAGUUUGAUCUACACACAGUUCCAGCAGAAAAUUACACACAGUUCCAACAUAAACUACACACAGUUCCAGCAUACACUAAACGAAUAAAAAAUGUCGACAAGUAAUCAAUUUUAAGAAAUUUGUGAAAACAAGUAGAGAGAGAUUUGUGCAACAGUAUGCUAUGUUUUAGAAAAUCAGUUGUGUAUGCAAAGAAUCAAUUUAACACAUUAGGUCUUGUAUCUCUCCCAUUCAUCCUUUCAUAAGUUUGGUCUAAAAAAUAAGCUAAAACAUGAACAGUUGUGGGUUCAAGUCGAACCGAACCAGUGUUAUGAUUGGGUGAACCCGUUCAUUAUUGUUUUCAAACUGAACUGAAACCAAUUUCACAAGUUGAAUUGCUGUCAAGAACUCGAAGUUCAAUUGCUGUCAAGAAUUAAUAAAGUUAAAUAAAUGUCAACAACUCAUAAAAAGUAUGCAAGAUUACAAUUGCUCAAGCACACAUACAAGAGACUUUCAAUACUCAAGCACACAAGCAAGAGACUUCAUAUGCUCAAGCACAAAAGCAAGAGACUUUUAUAAAACAAAGAUUACAAAGAAUAUUGUUUGGUUGAACACUUAAUAUAAAAUCAGAGGUGUUCAAAAAUACAAAACAGUUCAGACUCUAGAUUUAAGAAUUUCUAAUAUAGGGUCUUGUUCUAAUUUCUAAUUUUUUGUUUUUAACACUUUCUUGGUUUUUGUGAACACAGUUGAAUUGAAUAAACAGAUCUUAUCCUCUUUCCAGAUGUCUAACAAGUCUGAUAAUUAUCUGGCUUUCAAGGUAUUGAUGUUUCUAUGUUGUUUGUUUUUAUAUAGUGUUAUUUACGAAAGGUUAUAAUUUUGAUUUGGAUUGAAAUUGAUGGUGUUGCAACUUGCAGGUUAAGACUACAGUUCCUGAGAAAUAUUGUGUUAGGCCUAAUAUUGGAGUUCUGUUGCCUACGUCUAUUUCUGAUAUUAUAGGUGAAAUAAUUUGCUUGAUUAUGUGAAUAAUCAUUUGCUUACAAAAGUAGAAAGACAUGUAAAGAAGAAUAAUAAUGACAUUUUUAUUUCUUAUUUUAAAGGUAUAUUUUCCUCCAAUCUCAAUUAUAGGAGGAUGAACACAUUGUUAUCCUUAAGUUUUGAUCGAAUAUGUACUCAUCAUCUAAUUAUUCAAUACCUUAUUAUAUUUUUUAAUUUACUAAUAUAAACAUAAAAUUAUAUUUUGAAUAAAUCCUUAUUAUAUUUUUUAAUUUAUUAAUAUAACAUAAAAUAAUAUUUUGAAAUUUUUUUGCAUACGGUGUUGCUACCCAAAGAAGAUGUAGUCUACAAAUCCAAAGAAGUAUUGUUGCCUAGGUCUACUUGUGAUAUUCAAGGUCUUGUUCUCUAUCUUUUUUAGUCUCUCUCAUGCACACAAAAGCACGACGAAAUGCAACGAAGAAUAAUCAAGAUGUUAUAUUUGUUUACAAAUCAUAACAUUUAUAUAAUUGAUUAAAGUUAAUCAUUUUUAGCUAAAUAAACUUCUAAAAUAGUCUUAGCCUUAUCUUUAUAAAAACAAAACAUGGGUUGAACUAAGCCUGAUACCUUAAGCAUUCAAAAGUUGUUCAUGAGUUCUUGUUAGUUUAUGUGUGCAGAAAGUGGUUGUUGUACUACUAGAAAUAUUAGUUAUAUUGUUUUAUUAGGUACUUACAUGUGGUGGCAAAUUACCUUUUUUUAUUUUUUAUUUUUUGGCUUAAUUAAUGAUUUGGUCCCUUAAGUUAUUUAUUGGUUACAUUUUGGUCCCAUAAGUUAUUAAAGUUACAAUUUGGUCCCUUAAGUUAGUAUUUGUUAGCCAAAUAAAUCCUCACCGUCAGUCUUUUGCGAAAACGCUAAAUAAGGACAUGUGAACGGUGGCGUGACAACUUGCAAUAUAUAUCCACCUUAGACGUUGGCUUAACGGUUUUGAUGGUGGGGAUUUAUUCGGUUGCUGGAAGAUAACCUAAAGGAAUUAAAUUGUAACGUUAAUAACUUAGAGCACCCACAUCCAUGCCACUCUACAUGGGUGGUAUAAAUGGGUCCCAGUAAUACUUUAUAUUACUUCACACUUUUCAAUUAUUUAAACCACUCAACUACAUUUUCUAAACAUCCAUACCAUUCUUACAAAACUUAUAAUGGGUCCCACUAAUCUUACAAAAUGUGUGUGAGGAAGAGAAAGAAUUGCUUUAAGACACAAUGGUAGAAUUUGGAACCGUAGCCAAGAAAAGAUACCAACUGUUAUGCAAUUAUCCAUGCCUUUCCUGACACUAGUAGCCACACGUGGACCUUAUGUGCCAAAAGACACUGCCGAUAUUUGUGCUCUUAUGGGACUAAAAUNNNNNNNNNNNNNNNNNNNNNNNNNNNNNNNNNNNNNNNNNNNNNNNNNNNNNNNNNNNNNNNNNNNNNNNNNNNNNNNNNNNNNNNNNNNNNNNNNNNNUUGAUCGUAACCCAUAUAUAUAAUAUAAAAUAUUUCUAUAACAAAUAACAAAUAACAAAUAUAUCUCUAUAACAAAUAUAUUUCUAUAACAUAUAUAUUUCUAAACCAAAUAGCAUAUAUAUUAUACUAAUAAAUACCAACAUAUAACAUAACAAAAUAUCACUCAUCAAAAUAAAUCAUAUAAAUCACACAAAUCAUAUAAGUAUAUUCUAAACUCAUUAAAAUAAUCAAAUAAUUAAAGAGGUGUUACAAUUUUCGUGUUCAUUUUUCAUACAUGCAUUCAUCAUCAAUAACGUUGUCAUCAUGCAUGCAAUGCUUCAUCAACAUAAAUCGUCAUCAUCAUCAUAAUCAUUAUCAACAACAAUCAACUAAAGAAUCAACAAAGUUCCAGACUAAAGAAUCAACAAUUCUAGUCGUCUUCAUUGGAUAUAAAUAUCCUACUUAUGAAUGCAUGAACAUACGACUCCACAAUGCAUACGCUCAACAAAAAAUCGUCAUCAUUUUCGUCUUCAUUUUUCAUACAUGCAUUCAUCAUCAAUAACGUUGUCAUUAUGCAUGUAAUGAUUCAUCAACAUAAAUCAUCAUCGUCAUCAUAACCAUUAUCAAUAACAAUCAACUAAAGAAUCAACUAAGUUUCAAACUCACAUUUUGCACAAAAGACAGACAGUUAUCCACAUCAUGACAUUCAUCAAAUUAAACACCGACUCAUCCUUGAUUCAUUCUUAUUAUAAAAUAUCAUCAUGAAUAUAAAGUCAAUUGCAAGUUAUUCGGUCAUAAAACCUCAUUUCAACAAAGUUCGUCUAUUUUCAUAAAAUCGACCAUUUUCAAUUUUACCAACCAAAUUAGGGUUCCAAGUUCUUACAUACCAUUAAGACAUCUCUACAUAUCAUCUAACAUCUUAGUUAAUCAAUCAUAACAAGUUCAGUUCACAAAGUUCAACUAGUUCUCCAAAAUUGCAAAGUUCAUCUCCUUUUUCUUCAUGUUUCAAACUCAAUUCAUUUCUAGGUAAAAUCAAGUUAAAACACUUCUAAAGAACAAAUAUUCAUGAUUAAUCAUUUAUUCACUAUAAAUACUUCCUCAAAUUCAAUAUUAAUUUUGAAGAUGUUUCAUGGUUUAGUGAAAAUGUUAUGAUAUAGUUUCAUGAAAAAGUGACACAUGACCUAUGCGAAGUAAUUUGACCAUAAAUCAAGUUAUAGAAAACAUUUUGAAGUUAGACUAAACCCAUUAUAAAUAUAACAUACAUAUAUAAAACUUUCAUGUUUACAACUACGGCUGAAUCGAUUCAGAUCUUAUUGAAUCGAUUCAAAACAAGUUAGAGAGAAACCAUGAUACGAUUCAAAAUUUCUGAAUCGAUUCAAAGCUGCCCAGAUACAGAAUGAUGCAAUUCAAACUUUCUUGAAUAAAUUCAAUGGCCUGGAAAACACAAUUUUAGCUUCGGUUUCAUCCCCAAAUCAUCCCAAAAAUCCCUAUUUUGAUUUCCAACAUACCUAAAACGAUAAAAAUCAUUUUCCAAAGUUCAUUCAGACGUUUUUCACCACAAUACAAAACAACUUAUACUUCAAUUUACCUAAUUCAUCAAGGUUACAACAACAACAACUUACACACAACAACACAUAUAUCACAAUCAAUUCAUGAAUCAUCAUCACCAACAUAUACCCAUCAACAAUCAUAGCAUAUAAUUCAUGAACUCGUCAGUUUUCAACAACAUCUUCAUUUUCAUAAAUUUAAGUUAAAACUUCAAAGCUAUCAUUUCAACAUACAUGAAGUUUAAGUAGCCACAACAAGAAUUCAAAAAAUUUCAUAUACUCAAAUUUAUUGCAUAGUCGUGAGCACGAAAUUCAACAUUCAAAAUCACAAAAAGUCAUAAUUCACCAUAAGUACCUAUUCUCAUAAUUGAAAAGAUGAAGGUUGUAACUUAAUUAUGAAAAGGAUAUACCCCCCUUACCUCUAGGUCUUGAAUUCACUAACUUAGGCUUUAAUUUAGUUCCUAGCUCUUCAAACCUCAAGCUCUCCCUCUAGCUUCCUCUUCUUUCCUCUUGCGAUCUACUUUCUUUCUCUACCUCUUAUGUUUUUGUGAAAUAAAAUAAUGAAUGGCUUAACCUAAUUUUCUCAUAAGAGUUAUGCUUAUAUAGUCACCUCUUAAUUUGGCUAGGUUUCUAAUUGUAACGCCCACUUUCGUUAACUGUUUAUUUAAUUGAGUUUAGGCGAUUAUAUUAUAUUUAUAUAAUAUAUGCAUGAUUAUGGUAUGAUUUGAAUGAUUUACGUUUAUGUUGAUGGUUUAGUUGAUAUUGUGAUGAGUUAUGAGUUUUGGAAGAUUUGAUAAGAUUAAGGGAUUUAUUUUAUUGUUAAAUAAAAUAAAGAUUUGAAAAUAAUAUAAAAUAUUUAGUUGAGGGCUGUUUUGAUAUUUUAGAUAGUUUUGGGGGAGAAAGUGAGAUAAGAUAAGUAAUUAAGAGGAGAUAUAUAAAGGUUAGACCUAGUUUUAGAAAAACAUUGUUGUACGUACGUUUUUGGAGAAAAGGGAGAAAAAGCCAAGAGAAGAGAGAAUCACUAGGAGUGCUGCGAUUUUCUUCAUACAAGGUAAGGGUGAGACUAAUAAUUCAAUAAUGUUAGUUGUUGUAAUUCUGAUGAUUAAUUGACCAAGUUAGGAUUGAUUUAGAAAAGUUUUGGAAAUAGGUCAAAACCCUAAAAUUGAUGAUAAAACGGUGAGAAUUGUUUAGAUUGAUGUAAAAACUAUCCUAUAACCUUAGAAUAUGUUUAGGACGAAUUCUGGAUGUGAAAUUAGGCUUAGAACCUUCUUAGAUGAUGAUUUUGUGUAGAAACCAGAUUCUGCCCGUAACGACAUUCAUCGCUCGCCUCUCGAGCAAUGAUCCUCGCCAUGGCGAGUGAUGAACUUCAUCGCUCGCCACGCGAGCCAAAGCCCUUCGCCUCGCGAGUUACUUAGUGUAGCUCGCCACGGCAAACAACCCCUCCUCGCCUCGCGAGCUAAGGCAGAGAGCAUGUUAGAUUUUGUGUUUUCGACUUUUUAGUUGGACCUUGAGUGCCUUUGAGUGCCUGAACAUACCUAGUAAUGAAUAGGGAUGAAUGUAGGACAAGCCUGAACCCAGAACAACUUUAGUUUGGGAUUUGAGUGGUACUCGCCAUGGCGAGUGAGAACUCUCGCCUCGCGAGUAUGACCAGAAUGUAGGUUGUUUGAGUGUAGUGCGAUCUGUGUCGCACGUAUUGAUCAAGAGUGAACCUCUAAUUGGUAAUGAAACCUAGUGAUGAUGUCUACUGCAAUCUGUGAAGCCUUUUAAGACAAGUGGUCAUUAAUUGAGCGUGAUUAAUGUGUUGUACAAUUAUGUAAGAUAUGAAAGUUUAACUAUGAUGCAUUGAUUUGCUAUUGAUAUAAUGAAAUCAUCCUGUUAUGUGACUUGACUAUGCUGCUGCUGUUGUUUAACUAAGUGCAUUGUAUAUAUAUAUAUAUAUAUAUAUAUAUAUAUAUAUAUAUAUAUAUAUAUAUAUAUAUAUAUAUAUAUGAUGAAAUGAUGACGUUUAGCUCCAAAUUAUUGGAUGCAUGUUGAUAUGUUGAAUACGGUGAUUUGUUCAUAAGAGUCCAUGCAUAGCAUUUCAUUGAGCUUAGUCCUCACCACGAUUAUUAGGAGCUUUGUCCUCCGCACGAUUUAUAGGAGCUUUGUCCUCCGCACGAUUAAAGUAUAUUAAUACUUAUGAUGACAAUUGGUACCACAUGCAUAUAAGGAGUCUAAGAGCAUUGUCACAUUGUCAUGUCCAUAAUGCUAUGUUGUUGAUAAUGAAUAUGUGAUUACGUGAUAAGUGUUUAUCAAAUAAGUUAUGUUGUUCAUGAUAAUUGAAUAUAUGAUUACGUGAUAUCUGUUUAGCAAUUAUGCAAAGUUGUUAAAGAAAUGAUUAUGAUGUCAACUUAUGAUUCGCAAUUACAUUGAUUAAUGUUAUUUUGUUAUGAAAUCUCACCCCUUCUGCUUGAAAAUGUUGCCCUUCGUAUGGGUAACUUGCAGGUGAUCGUGCUUAGUGUGCAGUUGCCGUCGUGAGUGGCCUUGCCUUCACUGUGUCGUCUAGGUCGCUCUGAUACGUAACGGGAUGGGGUUUAAUGUUAUACAUGCUUCAUUCUCUUACGUGACUAAUAUGUUAUUUUUAUAAUGUUAUGGAUUACGACAUGAACUGUUUUGAUGGGGCCUACGUGCCAAACUGAUUUAUGGAUUAUGAAUCAAAUUCCGCUGCAAUGUUCACGACUUUUGGUUAAAUUACUAUUUAAUUGUUUUGGAUCAUGUUAUAUGUGAUAUCCCGUUGUUUAUGAUGCUUACUCUGAUAUAUGUUUAAGAAAUUUGUAUAUUGGGAAAACGGGGUGUUACACUAAUUGUCAUAAUGGGCUCAACAUCCUUACUAACUAAUUCGCAAAAGUUAAUACUCACUUAAACUGUUAAAACACCGAAUAAUUAACAUCUCUAAAUAAUUACCCCAACUCACUAGUAACUUAGUAAAAAUAAUUAUUCUCACUAAAACUCCAAAAGUAACCUUCUUAAUAAAAAUGACUAAUUUACCCUUACUCGCCAAAUGACCAAAAUACCCCUUAGUUUAAAAAUGACUAAAAUACUCCGCUAGGCCAAAAAUCCACUAAUCCUACUUUAAAUACACACAGAGACAAUUAAUCAAACAUAAACAUAUAGAAACAAACAUAAUAAACAAUUAAAUUAAUUCUAGCUAAAAACAGGUUGUUACACAACAUCCUGGGACUCUAGUCAGGUUGUACAUAGUACACAUACGUGGGGCUAGUCUGUCCAUUUCUUAACAAGGAAGCAUAUGAGAUGUCCCCAAUGAUUGGAUUCCUAAGAAGAAUAAAAGAAUAUGCUAUUUGGUAGGUAGGAUUGGAUAAGGACGGAUGGAUAAGAACAGCCCAUGUAAAAUGACCAAAGGGUACAACUUGUAGUGGGUUGCCUUGUACUAUAAAAGGGCACCCGUGUGUUAGUGUCAAGGGUCUAAAAAUUCACCUUAGAAUUGGAAAGGUCAGGUUACGACUAGGGUUAGCAGCUUUAGAGAUCUCAUUCCAUCUCAUCUUCUAACAUAAAUGAGCAUGGUAUAUAGAUCCCAGAGUUCUUAUACUAGAUUACUUGGUGAUGCUUUGCCUCACCUUAUUCCUUCAAGGAUUGUAAUCUUGCGACAACUCGAUCUAUUCUAUUAAUUUAGUUUUCUAUGUUUUCAUUUGUUUCCAUCUUCAUUUCCAUUUCUAUGGUUCAGGUCACCACGAGCUAAACCCCUUUAAAUGGUUUAGACAUGGCGAGGUUAUGAUUUAUUAAUUACUUAUCAUAUAUCAAACUGUAGCAUUGUGCUUUGCUCUGAUAAACUGUUUUUAUUGUAAAACCAAUAGAAGUGAUUCCUGAUAAGUUUUCCUUCUAAUGAUAUAGCUCGUUACCCUGAUGAAGUAAGGAGCAGAACCUGUUUACUUGAUACGAGUUAGCCCUUACCAACAGAGUGAAAGAGGACAAGACACCUGAAUGUAAAACUAACGUUAUAGGAGGCUAUAGCUUGGUGAAUCUCAUUUAGCUUAAGAGGUUAAUAAACAGCCGUAACACUGAAUGACCAUAGCCAUACCACAUUAUAACUUAGUAUUACAUUUUUUUAAUGUAUUUUUGACGUAUAUCAAUGAGGAUCUGAAUUAAGCCGCACAUAAGAGCGAAAAAGGGCAAGACUCCUCCAUUAAAUAAGCCAUAAAGCCGGAGUUUAAAUAUAUAGCUAAAUGAAGCUAUAUCUAUUUGAAGCUAUAGCUCCAUAGUCUAUAUGGGAUCGAUAUCUUUUUAUACUUGAAUUUGGAUAGUGUAUACUUGCACUUAGUCUUUCAAUCUUAAAAUACUUCUAAUGUUUUAGGUGACAGCACAAAUGCCUUUUGGGAUGGCCUGCAGAAAAAAGACGUCGAAUUUAAAUCUUACAAAUGGAAUGUGAACUUAUUUCACCACCGAGUGAAAAACAUAAAAAGCUUAGGAAUAAAUAAGUUAAUUCAAUAACCUGCACAUUUUAGUAUUGUAAAAUUGUGCUUAGGAGUAAGUUAAGCGUUAGUAUACGCAAGGGACACUAUAAUUAAAGAAUAAAGCCAUAUUUCGUAUUUCAACUCAACUCUUGCAUGUUUGGAGUCACACCCUGUCAGACACAAUCACAUCGUGAUUUUAUAGAAGUUCUAAAGUGUAGUUUUUACUCUACAAAAUAAAGAGAAAUUCCAAAAAUGCCCAAAAGCAUUUAACUCCAGCUCAAUAAAUGGGAGGUGAAGAGGGUAUUUUCCAUGAACAAUGGGUCAGCAUGACACACAACCACACUUACUAGUAAUUAGAUAAUCAUCAUCAAACAAGUUUAUUUGCAAACAAAAUGCAGCAUACCAGCAAAUACCUUUGACACAGUAAACACUCCAUUGAAAUCAUCAUCAAAAAAUUAAACAAAAUGAAUCAAAGUGAGAAAAUCGCGAAAGAAUUUAGAGUGAAAUGAUGGAGAACAAUAAUGGUAAAACAAUUGAGAUCAUAGGGUUAAGAGGGAUACAUGUUACAGAAGGGAAUUGUGCUUCAAUUUCAAUUAUGCAAACUCAAAUUCACAUGCAUGCUACAUAUCCUCUCAUCCCCUACAUAUUAUUUCUUUAUGCAAACUCAAAUUGCUUUUGUUUUUUUCAAAAUCAUGAUUCUGGUGAAGAUGGUUUUUAAAACACGAUAAAACACACAUGCCUUUGCCUUUAAUUUUACCUUCCACAACUUUCUAGAGAUCCAAAGCACUUCAAUGAAAUAUUGAAUUAUUCAUAAAGUUAUUCAUUAAUGAAUUGAUUGGAGAAUUAUCAAAGAUGAAACUUCAAUAUUAUAUGCAUGGAGAUUCUAUAGUAAAAUACUUAGGACGAUUCAAGAGUUUCCCAUCACUAUUCAAGAUAAGAAUAGAAAUCAAGCAAAGCAAUUUCGACAUUGAGAAAGGUUUUUCAUGUCUCUAAUAGAACAUUCUCGUCACAGAAUAAUCCUUGUGAAGACGAUAAUCUUAAUACUAAAUUACUUAAGCAAUUGGUGCACUUGCCAGAUUUAUCAUCAUCUUUCAAAAUUUUGUUUAAACAUAGUAUUGUUUUCGAUUUUAGACAAGAUGGUUUUGACUUAAAACUAGUAAACACACUUAAAAACUAACCUUUUUUUAUAGAUUUUUUCUACCUACAUUAUACCUAAAAGUGAACAAAGUCUUCCAUUUCAAUUUUGGCGAUGUUGAAUUUAUGAUAUUUUCAAUGUACUUCACCAAUUUCAACAUAACUAUUAAACUUAUUAUUAUAGGUGUGAUGUGUCUAGAUUGCAAACCAUGGUGAUAUCUCAAAAUUUACGAGACAAGGAGAUCCUAUAAAUAAAACUCUUUGCUUCCUGAUUUCAUUUCCAUCAACCUAGAAUACAAAGUCAUAACUUCAAGGUUCUUAAAACUAGGGAAUAACAUAAGAAGAAAAUAAUAAUUAUUGAGUGCAUCAACAAAAAUUAAAUGACAACAAGUGGAAUAUUCUAGCAUAAGGUAUAUUGUAGAAUUCUCUUGAUAGAGAAAGAGAACUCAUUUAUCUCAUUAUGAUGUUUUAGAUCGCUACACAUUUGCCUUUACGACACCUAACAUUAACUUUAUGAAGUUUUGGACAAUCUUUAUCUGUUUUACAAGCACUGUCAAUAAUCUCACUAAAAGAAGAAUUAGAUACUGCUAUGCAAAGAAAUAUAGAAAAAAAUAAAAUUAUAACAUAAACUAACUUCAGAGUUUCAACCAUAUUUUUUCCUAUUUGCAUCCAAAUAAUAGUAAAUGACUUGAUCUCUUUAUAAUGUAUAGUAAAGUUCAUGGUCUUAGAGAAAUAAUUAAAUAGUUUAAGCAUUAUAAAAUUUUAAAAGCCCUUUCAGAAUUUUAGAAUUAUUAGUAAAUGUCUCUUAAAUAUAUUAUUGUAUUAUUUUUGUCCCUUUAGCACACUUAGAAAGGAGUUCAUAUAAUAAAAAUAAUAAUCAAUAUAAUUGAAUAAAAUUUUACACACUUUAGAUUACUUUUUCUUGUAAAUAAUUCUAUUAUUUUUGUAACAUUUUGUGAGAGUAAAGGGAAAAAAAUUAUACCAUCAUAAAGUUAUGUAUGAAUAUAAAGCACCAUUGUAUAUUUAUGAUCAAGUAGAACGUAUACUAUGAUUAGGGUUGUAUCUGAGGCAGUGCGAGAGGGCGACCGUCCUAGGCCUCAAAAAAUAAGCCUAAUUUUGGGCCCCAAAUUACAAAAAAAAAAAUGAGCGAACAAAAUCACAAAAGGCGGAAAUAAAUAAAUUUGUUUAUAAAUGGUUAAGUGAGUCGUCGAAUAAUGAUGGAUAGACCGUAUAAUAAGAUACUCUUGAAUGAUGACAAUCUACUCGAUGGUUGAAAACAUUUAAGUUUGAAACCAAAGAACAUGAAAAUAGUGUUGAGCAUACCAUUAAAAUUGAAAAACUAUUUGAGAUCGUCUAUGUCACAAGAAAACUUGAAUCGUCUAGCCAUUUCAUGUACUGAGAAAGAUAUGAUAGAAAAUAUUAAUGUAAACACAAUUAUUAGUGAAUUUGCAUAUAAAAAUGCUCGUAGAAAUUUUGUACGAGCAUUUGAAUAUUAAAUAGAAAAUUCAAUAUUUUUUGUAUAAAAUCUGAUAUUUUUAUUUAUAUAAUUUUUUUACGUAAUAAAAACUAUAAUCUUCAAAUUGUAGUUAGGGCUCAAAUUGCAUAUAAUAAGAAGUCUUUCCACUAUGUUGUAAGCAAAUGCCUUUUGGGAUGGCCUGAAUUUAAAUCUCACAAAUGGAAUGUGAACUUAUUUUCACCAGCAAGUGAUAAACAAUUUUUUUUUUUUUGAAAGAUCCCACUGAGUGAUAAACAUAAAAAGCUUAGGAGUAAGUUAAUUCAAUAACCUGCACAUUUGGUAAUGUAAAAUUAUGCUUAGGAGUAAGUUAAGUGCUAGUAUACGCAAGGGACACUAUAAUUAAAGAAUAAAGCCAUAUUUCGUAUUUCAACUCAACUCUUGCAUGUUUGGAGUCACACCCUGUCAGACACAACCACAUCGUGAUUUUCUUGAAGUUCUAAAGUGUAGCUUUUGAUCUAUAAAAUAAAGAGAAAUUGCAAAAAUGCCCAAAAGCAUUUAACUCCAGCUCAAUAAAUGGGAGGUGAAGACACACUGCUACUUCAAAGUAAAAGUAUCCACCAUGGGAGAGAGAAGAAAAGAUCCAACAUGGAGAAAAUCAAUUAUGAUGCAUUGAGUUCACAAUUGUACAGGAUAAGUGCUUAUAUACAAUCUGGAAAUGUCAGCUCAUAUAGUAACUACCUCAACUAACUAAAUGAAAGUGAAAUGCAAAUGAAAUUACAAGUAAACUCAAAUUUAGUUAGAAAGUAACUUGCGCGCCAAGCUAGGUUUUUCUUGUUAUUUCAUCCUCUUUUUCUUCAUAUGCUAAUAACCCCACAAGCUGGAGGUUGGUAGAUACCUACCAUCCCAAGCUUGACAAUUCAAUCAUGAAAUUGCCUAGGUCCUGCUGCUUUGGUAAAGACAUCAGCUGUCUGAUGUUACGAGGUGAUAGGGAGCAAAUGCAUGACUCGAGCCUGAAUUUUCUCACGCACCAAGUGGUAAUCAAUGUAUAGGUGUUUGGUACGCUCAUGGAAAACUGGAUUAGAAGAAAUAUGCAAAGCACUUUGGUUGUCACAAUAGAGUGCACACUACUACUCUUACUAGUAUUAGAUAACCGUCAUCAAACAAGUUUAUUUGCGAACAAAAAGCAGCUUACCAGCGAAUACCUUUACCCAGUAAACACUUCAAUGAAAUCAUCAUCAAACAAUUAAACAAAAUGAAUCAAAGCGAGAUAAUUGCGAAGGAAUUUAGGGUGAAAUGAGGGAGAACGAUAAUGGUAAAACAAUUGAGAUCAUAGGGUUUAGAGAGAUACGUGAAACUUUCACUGAUAUUUUCCAUGAACAAUUUCUAGUAUUAGAGGUUCCUCGUCAAACAAUAUGCAAUGACCAUUGUCCCUUUUCCAUUUAAUUUACAAUAAUAUAUGCUCCAUUAUACCAAUUCUGACUUUAGAAAGAGCAAUUCUCUGUAAUAAAUCAUAUGGUUUAUACAACCACUAUCUAUGACUAUAUGCCACCUUUCAGUGGAGCUAUUGGCAGUAAAACAUGCUACAGCAGGCAAUUGUGGUUAGUCCCCGACAACCUUAACUUCUCCAUGCGUCGUAAUUGACCACGCUUAUGACACCAAGCAUUUGGCCUUCGCCAUCUUUUUUUGGUGUGAUUAAUUUCCUUGCCAUGAGGCCAUGAUGGAAAAACCUUAGUAUUAUUGUUUUGGUUGUUGAUCUUACUAUUUUCAAAACCACAUUGUUUGUUGUUAUUAAUCUGUAAUUUGACUUGAAAUGCACCAUACAUAGAUCCAUCCUGCCUCGUUAGCCUUCUUCUCUCAAAGGGAAUGCAUUGCACAUAACACUUCUGUUAAGAGUCGCACAUCGGAUAGGUGAUGGCCUGACAAUGUGUUUAUAAGUGGGGGCAAUCAUCACCUCACUAGCCGGUUUUGUGGGGUUGUGUUAGGCCCAACCGGAUAAAUUAUCUGUAGUGUUGAGAGCAAUUUAAACGGACAAGUCAAAUCAUUCCAAGUAUGAUUUCAAACUUUCAGUUAGAAAGCAACAGUUAUAGGAAAAUAUAUUGCAACCAAAAAUCCAAGCACCGAAUAAAUUCCAUACCAGCUCUUGCCGAAGCAUUUUAUAUCGCUCAAUAGCAGAUUUCCUCUCCUUAGCUAACUUUGACAUAUCUUCUUACAUGAAUGCAUGUUUUUCAAAAUCAACAUCUUACUAAGUGAAAUCCGUACAUAAAUACACAUGAAUCAGGUAUUCAUGCAAAUGACUAAGAUAAGUUCCAUACCACAUCUUACUAAGAGAAACAACAUGGAAGGAUCCCUAAGAAAGAUCCGUUGUAUGAGCACAUAAGGGAAAUCAAGUGAUGUGACUAAUUUAUUUCUCUAUUAAAUUUUUCUAAUUGUGAGUGCGUGCCCAAAUAUUUUUCAGUUAGGUUUGUGUCUAUAGAAAAGUUGCUCCCAAUUUAUAUCUCUCUAGCUUUGUAUGCAAACAUGAUUAACCAACGGUAGCUUCUGGGGUGUUCAAAUCCAAACCGAUCCAAAAUAAAACCGCAAACCGAUUCAAAAAAACCGAAAAUCGCAAAAAACCGAAUAUUUUUGGAUUUGUUUGGAUGUUGUUUUGGAAAAACCGCUAUGAUCGGAUCGGAUUUCGGAUUGCGUUUUCAAAACCGAACCGAACCUAACCUAACCGCAAAAGUAAAUUUUUAUACUUAUUUAUUAUUUUAUUAGUAUUAUAUAUUGCACUAAUAUAUUGCUUAUUGGUAUUUAAUCUUAUAUAUUGCAUUGAUUUAAUCUAUAUUAUUACUACUACAUCUAUUUCAAAUAUAAUCAAUCAUUUUCAUUGUGUAAUGUUAACUUUUUUAAUAAAUUUGUGUCAUAUUUUGUAUCAAACCUAUUAUUUUAUUGUGUAUGAGUAAUAUUAAUAUUAAAAAAAAAUUACAUAUUACACUUUGGAUAUCCAAAAACCGAUCCAAAUUAAACCGCAUAUAUUUGGAUCGGAUCGGUUCGGAUUUUUUUAACAUAAUCAUCCAAACCGAACCGAACCGCACGUGAUUUUUAUUUUGGAUUGGUUGAUUUUUAACCUCAAAACCGAUCCAAACCGGACCGCGAACACCCCUAGCUUCUUUGUAAGACCCACCUAACUUGUAAUUUAUUUCUUUUAAGAAAAUUUUAUUCUGUAAUAUUUUAAAGAGAGAAAGAUUUUUUUUAAUAGAAAAAAUUGAUUUUAUCGUUUUCACAAAUAUUUCAUUUUCUCUCUAUUUAAGAAAUUGCUAAAUAAAACCAACUAAUCUUUUCGCUCUACUAUCUAGAUUAGUUAAUAAUUUUCUAAGUUACGAGCAUUACUCUGUCCAAAUGGAAAAUUGUUCUGUUAGGACAGAAAAUAAAAGAAAAAAAAUUAUCUUCCUAUAAAUCAAAAGAUUUUAUAUGAAUAGGAUGGGGGAGUUAUUUAUACUUGAGUAUACUCAUUGUCUUUAGCCAGUGCAACAAAACUCAUAUCCGCUGCUGGUACCUGUCCGAACCAAACCCAAUUUGAUGGGUUUUCCUCGCUUUAAUUGGGUGUGGGUUUUGCCCGAUUUUCUGAACAUGGAUACAAGAUGGAUAAUGAGAAUAUAGGUACCCACCCCGAACUCAUACUCAAACUUGUCCUGAAUAUAGAAAAUAAAUUUAUUAUCCCUUUUAUAUAGAUAGAAAUUCAAACCCUAAAUCAUUACAUUGACAAAAUUAGAGUCUCAAUCUUUCAGAUAACAUUCACUUAUCAUAGUACUCUCUUUUCUCCUUCCAUAUCUCACACUCUCUUCUCCAUCACCAUAGCAAUCGACCGCCAUCAUCUCUUUGCUAGAUAAUGCACUACAACAUUGCGUUCGGGGUUGGAAAAUACUUUUAAUUUUUAUUAAAAAAAUUAUCCACUGCAAAGGAUGGGGAAGGGUGGAUACCAGAACCCAUUAGGAACAGGAAUGAGAUUCGAUUUUUCAUCCCCUCUAAGUAUGAGCGGUGCAACAGAUAAGUAUAUGAAAAUAGGGUAUGAGAACGGGGAAGGAAAAACUCAUCCUCACCUCGUUCCAUUACCAUGCCUAUUUGUCUUACAAUUUACAUUGAAAUUGAAGACUAAAACAUUUUCUCAAAACUAAGGAAAAUAAGUCAAGUUCUAAAUAUGUUGAAAUGAUUGCAUGUGUUAUCAUUUUUCAUGUCCUAUUAACAAAACUAUUUGAAAUGAUAAUUGAUCAUGAAAUAUGCUAUGUACUUUAAUAGUUAAAUUCCAACUUAAUGAGUUUGAUAUGCGAACGCACUUAUGAAUUAUAUAAAACUUAAUAGAGGUUGAACAUGCAUCCCCUUCUCAUAUUCUUCUUGAGAAAUUUUCAUGCACAACGUGUCACCCCUAAUAGAGGGUUUUGGAAAAUCGCAAGGCUCGAUGCAACAUGCAUUAGUAAAACUAUUUUAGAAACAUUCACAUGAAAGUAAAAAGCACUAAGAGAGAAAAAUUAAAGAGUAAUAUAUUUGUAGUAUAAGAUGUACUCAUUAUUAAAUUUAAUAUAAUAAUAUUUUAGUAAAAAUACACUGACGUACUGUAUAUUAUUAUUUGUUGACAUAAUGUAUUAUAUUAAUCAUAAAAACUAAAAUAUUUGUUUUUUUUUUUUUUAUAAAAUAGUCAAUGUCAGAUGUAGACAUCCGGUCUGUGAAUGCAAAUGUUAGAUAUUUUACGGAUGUAUAUAAAUAUAGUUUUUUUUUUUUUUUUUGCGGUGGCCGAGAUUCGAACCCAGACCUUGCAUAUUUUAUGAAUUGUCUACCAUGUAAAUAUAGUUUGUGUUAAUACAAAGUAAAUCAAUAAAUACACAAAUUAGAACGAAUUGAGAAUAUCAAUUUUCUCCUUAAGAAAAUGAAUAAAUACGCAAUGAGAACAAAUUGAGAAAGUAUUCCUCGGCAGAAAAGGAAUCAAAUAAAAUCCAAAAAAAAUUCCAACUACCUCGGCACAAUCCUUAAGGCCUUCAAUGUUGGUCAUCGGGUCAAAUUGAGAAAGUCUUCCUCAUUCCACAAUUGAGAGUUGUAUGGGAGAUGGUCUGCUAGGGUUUUGCGCAUGAGCGUAGCCUUCUUCAUCCCACUGUACCAAUUGAAAAUUGAAGCAACACAUUGAAUCCAUUGACUGUGGUAUCUUCCAAUUUUCCAUUCACGCUGGAUCACGUUGCUUCUUUAUUAUCACCAAACCCAAAAUUCAAUUCAAAUCAAAUUCAUUUGGUGGCUGAUUCUACCUCUUUCUCCUUGCUUGCAAUCGAUUCAGAAUUAUUCUCCAUCGAUUUCCUUUCCCGCAUCACAUAAAUUGCAAACUUUUCCGUUAUUGCGUUCUUACUGUUUCCCAGACUUUUUGUAAUGCCGUUUGAAUGACAGGCAGAGUUGUUAUUGCCGACAGCUACACCCUCCAAAGUUGUGCCAUCUCCCAUGGCACUGUCUUCCACAGCUGCGGUCCCAGCACCACAACCACCACCGCGGUCCUUUGCACAAGCACUUGUUGCAUCGCACAGCCAAGCCACUAAUGAUAAUCUGCCGCAACCUACAACCCGUUGUGAGGCUCUCUCCAUUCGUACUGCUCAGUCAGUGUAUUAACAGGGGGUCAAUGUGUGUAAGAGAAACCUUUGUGGAAGGUUGGUUCUUAACAAAGGAUUAAACCCUAUACGUCGAAGGAAAUUGAGGACAAGCUUCGGAAACAAUGGAAGACUGCUACACCUUGGACGUUGCUAUCUUUAGGUAGGGGCUUUUAUGACUUCUUUUUUGCCACUAAUGAUUUGCAAAUUGUUUGGGCAAUGGGAACUGUGAACUUGAAGCCGGGGGUGUUACGUUUAUUUGAAUGGUCGGUGGAUUUUAAUAUGCAUAAUCAUAGGAACACUCAAGCACAAGUAUGGAUCCGAUUGAUGGCACUGCCACAACAAUAUUGAAUGAAACGUACUCUAUCGGAAAUUGCCAGUGCGGUUGGCACGCCACUAGUUCUUGACAAUGCGACAUUGAAAAGACUUUUUGGACACUAUGCAUGUAUCUUAGUCGACAUUGAUUUUUCCAAAAAGAUUUUUCAUGAAAUUAUCGUAGAACGGGAAGGUGCUUCUUAUCCUGUGGAAGUCGUUUAUGAACGGAUUCCAGAUUUUUGCUCGCAUUGUCAGACACUUGGACAUGAUGUUACUAGUUGUCGUUGGUUGUACCCAAAGAAGGAAGACAUAUCUAAGGAUAAAGUUGUGAAAGGGAAGACGCAGAUACCAGCCAAGAAACCUAAGUAGGUGCCUGUUAAAGAGAAUCCCUCUGGUAUAAGUUCAUCCAUCGCAUUUGCAACUCCUAAACCUACCGAGCCACAAAAAAUUAUGAUUGUUGUUGAUGUUUCUACUUCUGCGGCUCCAACACUAGCUCAUACACGCUCCCUCUCCAACAAGUCGGCCCUAGUUUUCUCUCUCUAGGUUAUCUCUUACAAUUUCUUCAUUGAGGGGUGGUUUUGGGUCAAUACUUAACCUGAAAUCACCCCUCUUCAUCGUUUUCUCUUUAUUUCAAUCUAAAUAAGUGAUUUUUACAUAGAUCUAGGUUUUUUUAUUUGUAAUUUCAUCAUCUAAGUGUGGUGAUUUGUUGUUUGUCGUCUUGUGUGGCGUUGUUUGAUUUCCCGUCUUCGUGCGGUGUUCAUUUGAUUCAUAUUGAAAGAUCGAUUGUUCAAUCAAAGAUUUGGGCGUCAACGUUGCAGAUCUGGAGGCAAUGAAUAUUUCAGUCACUUUAAUUUCAUCAUAUAUUUUUGUAGGCAUUAUGCCGUUAUAUGCUAUUAUCAUGGAUGUUGUGAGUUUGUUCGUAGAUUCAUCUUUUACGUUUUUAGCGGUGUUGAAUGAUGUAAUCUCUCGAUUUGAAUGAAUGAAUAUCAUUUUGUUUUUGUCAAAAAAAAAAAAAAAAAAACAUUAGCUCAUACACGCGUGUCUGAUGAGAUCCCUCAAGGCUCUUUGCCUUCGCACCUAGUUUUGGAGUUAGCUUCCCCUGAUGAUGUGCACAUUGACGUGCUUUCGGAUGAUGUGGAACAAGUAAAUUUAGAAUCGCGGGGGGAGUUGGUGGUACCCCGGAUCCACGAUGCACCUGUGAUACAUCCAUCCUCAAAUGCCCAUGAUGAUGAGCAUUCUUUAACUGUUGAUUUGGAGGCCUCCGCUUCUACUAGGGAGAUGUCACCGACUCAACAUGAUGUAGCGCACGAUGACGUGCAAACCAGUCCCCAAGAUGGUCCCCUUGUUGUUAGAUUCAUUCCUGACAACACUACCACUUUUUUCGAAAUGGAGCGCCUUGCUCAGAACACCAAUUACACGAUUGAACAGACAGGUAAUGAUGAGAAUGGCAACAACAUCUUGACUGUUUAUGAACCUCAUAGCAAUCCGAAUGUUCAUCAUGAUUUGGAACUUUGGAGGCGUGUUCAUGAAUAUGACAAAGCCAAUGCAGAAAAACCAUUCACUCUAGUCUUAUCUCGGAAACAGAAACAACAGGUUAAGAAAUAACUUCUGAUUGGUAAGCCACCGCCUUAUAAAUAAUCCGUUCUCAGGGAGGAUCCACUUUAGUUGAUCAAUGAAUUUUUAUUUUUUUUGGUCGAGCCAAUGGUCACUGUUGCAUAGGUUCCAUCUUAGUAUUGGCAUAUCAUUGGUGUUACUAAAUCUCACAUCUUUAGGGAAGGUAAUUGUUGUGCUAAUUUGUUUGCUAAUAUGGGACACUCGUUUCAGGGUACAGUUUAGUUUUCAGUGUUUCUUCAGACUAUUCAGAAUGUCUUUAGUUUGGACCGGAGCGGGUUCCCUCGAGCUAGGUUCCCGUAGUCAUUUGUUUCCUUAUUUUCCUUCAUGUUUACUGUUUUUUGUUUUUCGAGGGAUUUGGUAUAGCCCCCCUCUUGUACUCUUUUUUUCCCCUUUUUUUUUAAUAAAAUUUUUCAGAGAUUGGCGGUAUAUGAUGUGAGUUCUAGAGGGUGAUGGCAUAAGAAGAUAGGAAAGUAAAAAGAAGAAAAAAAAAUGUUGUUGGGAUCUACAUCUUGUUCAAGGGAGAACAAAAUGGGAACUGUAAAAUGAAUGAAGUUCAUGUUGUUGUUGAUGUCAGCGCAUGUUUAUGUUAUUGUUAUGAAGGAACUGAUAUGAAAAAAUCAUGUGAUUUAGGUCUUGAUGGUUUUCAAGAUUAAUGGUUUUUGUGGGUUUGGAUGUUGAAGAUUUUGAGGAUUUGGUUUAUGAUGUAAAAGAUUGAUAAUUUUUUCUUUUUUCAAUUUGUUUUUCAUUAAUUUUAUUUUAUUUUUUGUAAUUUUUAAAUAAUAUUAAUUUUUUUAUUUUGUCAAGUAGUCUAGUGGCUAGAAUUCACCUUAUAAGGUUAAUAAGUGGGGUGUCUGGGGUUCGAACCCCAGACCCUGCAUAUAAUAAUGCAUUGUCCUACCAAUUGAGCUAUGCUCACGGGACUGAUAAUUACUUUUAAAUCCAGAUGGAUAACAAAAAUCAUAGGUGGCAAUUUUUUUUAAUAAAAAUGCGCCAUGUCAAAAUCAAGGGGGGUCAUGAUUUUGCAAAGGGGGUGAUACUUGAGGGGCCAAUAGUGCUAUUUUCAAAGUUGGAGGCGAGGCAAAAUCAUAAUUUUUACAAACUUGAAGGUCAAAAGUGCAUUUUAGCCUAAUUAGUAUUAUAGGGUUGCCUUUGUUUCAAGUUAUAUUUGUAAGAUCCUAAGAAUAAAAUGAUCAAAUAUGCAAGCUCGUGUCUCUAAUAGAACUUAUCAUCAUACAACAAUCCUUGUGUACACGAUAAUCUUACUAUUAAAUUACUUAAACAUUUUCGUGCAUUUGCCAAAUUUAUCAUCAUCUUUCAAAAUUUUGUUUGAAUAGAGUAUUAUUUUCAAUUUUAGACAAAAUGGUUUUGACUUUAAACUAACAAACACAAUUAAAAACUAACCUUUUUUUAGCUUUUUUGUACCUACAUUAUACACUGUAAAAUGAUAAAAUUAUCUUUUAUUUGACUCAUUCAAAAACCUCAAAUCAUACACUAAAAGUGGACAAAGUAUUCUAUUUCAAUUUUGGCGAUGUUGAAUUUGUUUUAUUUUCAACGUAGUUUACCAAUUUCAACAUAACUAUUAAUUAUCUUCUUUUUGAUUCAUGCAAAAAGAUGAAAUCAUACACUAAUAAUCAAUCCCUAAAAGAAAUAUCUAUCUAAGUAAAAAACCAAUUUUAAAACCUUUUUUAAAAUUAUUUAAAUUAAUAAAUUUUAAUAUAUUGAUUUUUUAAACUAAUAAAAAAUAUUUUAAAAAAAAAAUUCGUCUACAUUUUCCCAGGGGUUAACCCCUGGCAGAUCUCCUGUUAGUGUUUGAUUUGAUCUCUAAAAAUUGGGUCAGGAUAGUCUGCACGCGUUAGAAAAGUUGAUAGGGGUUGUACCAGGGAAUGUACCCCACAUAAAUUUGUCAGGAACUAAAGCCCUGGCAUGGUCAUAUAUUUGCGAUGACCUGCUUUGCUGGGGAUUGUGCCCCUAGAAAAACUCCUCGCAAACAUUAGUUUGCCAAGGCUUUAUGCAUUGUGUCAGGGGUUCUGGCCUUGGCUAAUUACCAGAUUUCUUGUAGUGAGUGUGGACAAAGUCUUCUAUUUCAAUUUUGAAAAUGUUGAAGGCGGGGGGGGACACAAAAAGGCGUGAUGGGUCUGGAUUGUAAGCCAUGGCAAUGCCUCCAAAUUUACCAGAUAAGGAGAUCUUAUAAAUAAAACUCUUUGUUGUCUUAUUUCAUUUCCAUCAUCUUAGAUUACAUAAGAAGAAAAUAAUAAUUAUUGAGUGCAUGCAUAAAAACUAAAUGACAACAUGUGGAAUAUUCUAGCAUAAGGUAUAUUGUACAAUUCUCUUGCUAGAGAAAGAACUCGUUUAUCUCAUUAGGAUGUUUUAGAUCUGUACACAUUGGCCUUUACGACACCUAACAUUAGACCUAUGAAGUUUUGGACAAUCUUUAUCUGAUUUACAAGCACCUUCAAAAAAAUGACUAAAAGAAGAAUUACAUAUUGUCAUGCCAAGAAAUAUGGAAAGAAGUAGAACUAUAACAUAAACCAACUUUGGAGUUUGAACCAUAUUUUUCCUAUUUGCAUCCAAAUACUAGUAAAUGACUUGAUCUCUUUAUAGUGUAUAAUAAAAUAUGGUCUUAGAGAAAUAAUUAAAUAGUUUAAGCAUUAUAAAAUUUUAAGAUUCAUUCAGAAUUUUAUAAUUAUUAC